rnacentral:lncRNA from 1 species
GCAGCCAGCGCAGGGGCUUCUGCUGAGGGGGCAGGCGGAGCUUGAGGAAACCGCAGAUAAGUUUUUUUCUCUUUGAAAGAUAGAGAUUAAUACAACUACUUAAAAAAUAUAGUCAAUAGGUUACUAAGAUAUUGCUUAGCGUUAAGUUUUUAACGUAAUUUUAAUAGCUUAAGAUUUUAAGAGAAAAUAUGAAGACUUAGAAGAGUAGCAUGAGGAAGGAAAAGAUAAAAGGUUUCUAAAACAUGACGGAGGUUGAGAUGAAGCUUCUUCAUGGAGUAAAAAAUGUAUUUAAAAGAAAAUUGAGAGAAAGGACUACAGAGCCCCGAAUUAAUACCAAUAGAAGGGCAAUGCUUUUAGAUUAAAAUGAAGGUGACUUAAACAGCUUAAAGUUUAGUUUAAAAGUUGUAGGUGAUUAAAAUAAUUUGAAGGCGAUCUUUUAAAAAGAGAUUAAACCGAAGGUGAUUAAAAGACCUUGAAAUCCAUGACGCAGGGAGAAUUGCGUCAUUUAAAGCCUAGUUAACGCAUUUACUAAACGCAGACGAAAAUGGAAAGAUUAAUUGGGAGUGGUAGGAUGAAACAAUUUGGAGAAGAUAGAAGUUUGAAGUGGAAAACUGGAAGACAGAAGUACGGGAAGGCGAAGAAAAGAAUAGAGAAGAUAGGGAAAUUAGAAGAUAAAAACAUACUUUUAGAAGAAAAAAGAUAAAUUUAAACCUGAAAAGUAGGAAGCAGAAGAAAAAAGACAAGCUAGGAAACAAAAAGCUAAGGGCAAAAUGUACAAACUUAGAAGAAAAUUGGAAGAUAGAAACAAGAUAGAAAAUGAAAAUAUUGUCAAGAGUUUCAGAUAGAAAAUGAAAAACAAGCUAAGACAAGUAUUGGAGAAGUAUAGAAGAUAGAAAAAUAUAAAGCCAAAAAUUGGAUAAAAUAGCACUGAAAAAAUGAGGAAAUUAUUGGUAACCAAUUUAUUUUAAAAGCCCAUCAAUUUAAUUUCUGGUGGUGCAGAAGUUAGAAGGUAAAGCUUGAGAAGAUGAGGGUGUUUACGUAGACCAGAACCAAUUUAGAAGAAUACUUGAAGCUAGAAGGGGAAGUUGGUUAAAAAUCACAUCAAAAAGCUACUAAAAGGACUGGUGUAAUUUAAAAAAAACUAAGGCAGAAGGCUUUUGGAAGAGUUAGAAGAAUUUGGAAGGCCUUAAAUAUAGUAGCUUAGUUUGAAAAAUGUGAAGGACUUUCGUAACGGAAGUAAUUCAAGAUCAAGAGUAAUUACCAACUUAAUGUUUUUGCAUUGGACUUUGAGUUAAGAUUAUUUUUUAAAUCCUGAGGACUAGCAUUAAUUGACAGCUGACCCAGGUGCUACACAGAAGUGGAUUCAGUGAAUCUAGGAAGACAGCAGCAGACAGGAUUCCAGGAACCAGUGUUUGAUGAAGCUAGGACUGAGGAGCAAGCGAGCAAGCAGCAGUUCGUGGUGAAGAUAGGAAAAGAGUCCAGGAGCCAGUGCGAUUUGGUGAAGGAAGCUAGGAAGAAGGAAGGAGCGCUAACGAUUUGGUGGUGAAGCUAGGAAAAAGGAUUCCAGGAAGGAGCGAGUGCAAUUUGGUGAUGAAGGUAGCAGGCGGCUUGGCUUGGCAACCACACGGAGGAGGCGAGCAGGCGUUGUGCGUAGAGGAUCCUAGACCAGCAUGCCAGUGUGCCAAGGCCACAGGGAAAGCGAGUGGUUGGUAAAAAUCCGUGAGGUCGGCAAUAUGUUGUUUUUCUGGAACUUACUUAUGGUAACCUUUUAUUUAUUUUCUAAUAUAAUGGGGGAGUUUCGUACUGAGGUGUAAAGGGAUUUAUAUGGGGACGUAGGCCGAUUUCCGGGUGUUGUAGGUUUCUCUUUUUCAGGCUUAUACUCAUGAAUCUUGUCUGAAGCUUUUGAGGGCAGACUGCCAAGUCCUGGAGAAAUAGUAGAUGGCAAGUUUGUGGGUUUUUUUUUUUUACACGAAUUUGAGGAAAACCAAAUGAAUUUGAUAGCCAAAUUGAGACAAUUUCAGCAAAUCUGUAAGCAGUUUGUAUGUUUAGUUGGGGUAAUGAAGUAUUUCAGUUUUGUGAAUAGAUGACCUGUUUUUACUUCCUCACCCUGAAUUCGUUUUGUAAAUGUAGAGUUUGGAUGUGUAACUGAGGCGGGGGGGAGUUUUCAGUAUUUUUUUUUGUGGGGGUGGGGGCAAAAUAUGUUUUCAGUUCUUUUUCCCUUAGGUCUGUCUAGAAUCCUAAAGGCAAAUGACUCAAGGUGUAACAGAAAACAAGAAAAUCCAAUAUCAGGAUAAUCAGACCACCACAGGUUUACAGUUUAUAGAAACUAGAGCAGUUCUCACGUUGAGGUCUGUGGAAGAGAUGUCCAUUGGAGAAAUGGCUGGUAGUUACUCUUUUUUCCCCCCACCCCCUUAAUCAGACUUUAAAAGUGCUUAACCCCUUAAACUUGUUAUUUUUUACUUGAAGCAUUUUGGGAUGGUCUUAACAGGGAAGAGAGAGGGUGGGGGAGAAAAUGUUUUUUUCUAAGAUUUUCCACAGAUGCUAUAGUACUAUUGACAAACUGGGUUAGAGAAGGAGUGUACCGCUGUGCUGUUGGCACGAACACCUUCAGGGACUGGAGCUGCUUUUAUCCUUGGAAGAGUAUUCCCAGUUGAAGCUGAAAAGUACAGCACAGUGCAGCUUUGGUUCAUAUUCAGUCAUCUCAGGAGAACUUCAGAAGAGCUUGAGUAGGCCAAAUGUUGAAGUUAAGUUUUCCAAUAAUGUGACUUCUUAAAAGUUUUAUUAAAGGGGAGGGGCAAAUAUUGGCAAUUAGUUGGCAGUGGCCUGUUACGGUUGGGAUUGGUGGGGUGGGUUUAGGUAAUUGUUUAGUUUAUGAUUGCAGAUAAACUCAUGCCAGAGAACUUAAAGUCUUAGAAUGGAAAAAGUAAAGAAAUAUCAACUUCCAAGUUGGCAAGUAACUCCCAAUGAUUUAGUUUUUUUCCCCCCAGUUUGAAUUGGGAAGCUGGGGGAAGUUAAAUAUGAGCCACUGGGUGUACCAGUGCAUUAAUUUGGGCAAGGAAAGUGUCAUAAUUUGAUACUGUAUCUGUUUUCCUUCAAAGUAUAGAGCUUUUGGGGAAGGAAAGUAUUGAACUGGGGGUUGGUCUGGCCUACUGGGCUGACAUUAACUACAAUUAUGGGAAAUGCAAAAGUUGUUUGGAUAUGGUAGUGUGUGGUUCUCUUUUGGAAUUUUUUUCAGGUGAUUUAAUAAUAAUUUAAAACUACUAUAGAAACUGCAGAGCAAAGGAAGUGGCUUAAUGAUCCUGAAGGGAUUUCUUCUGAUGGUAGCUUUUGUAUUAUCAAGUAAGAUUCUAUUUUCAGUUGUGUGUAAGCAAGUUUUUUUUUAGUGUAGGAGAAAUACUUUUCCAUUGUUUAACUGCAAAACAAGAUGUUAAGGUAUCUCUUCGUUAUCAGAAGAGUUGCUUCAUUUCAUCUGGGAGCAGAAAACAGCAGGCAGCUGUUAACAGAUAAGUUUAACUUGCAUCUGCAGUAUUGCAUGUUAGGGAUAAGUGCUUAUUUUUAAGAGCUGUGGAGUUCUUAAAUAUCAACCAUGGCACUUUCUCCUGACCCCUUCCCUAGGGGAUUUCAGGAUUGAGAAAUUUUUCCAUCGAGCCUUUUUAAAAUUGUAGGACUUGUUCCUGUGGGCUUCAGUGAUGGGAUAGUACACUUCACUCAGAGGCAUUUGCAUCUUUAAAUAAUUUCUUAAAAGCCUCUAAAGUGAUCAGUGCCUUGAUGCCAACUAAGGAAAUUUGUUUAGCAUUGAAUCUCUGAAGGCUCUAUGAAAGGAAUAGCAUGAUGUGCUGUUAGAAUCAGAUGUUACUGCUAAAAUUUACAUGUUGUGAUGUAAAUUGUGUAGAAAACCAUUAAAUCAUUCAAAAUAAUAAACUAUUUUUAUUAGAGAAUGUAUACUUUUAGAAAGCUGUCUCCUUAUUUAAAUAAAAUAGUGUUUGUCUGUAGUUCAGUGUUGGGGCAAUCUUGGGGGGGAUUCUUCUCUAAUCUUUCAGAAACUUUGUCUGCGAACACUCUUUAAUGGACCAGAUCAGGAUUUGAGCGGAAGAACGAAUGUAACUUUAAGGCAGGAAAGACAAAUUUUAUUCUUCAUAAAGUGAUGAGCAUAUAAUAAUUCCAGGCACAUGGCAAUAGAGGCCCUCUAAAUAAGGAAUAAAUAACCUCUUAGACAGGUGGGAGAUUAUGAUCAGAGUAAAAGGUAAUUACACAUUUUAUUUCCAGAAAGUCAGGGGUCUAUAAAUUGACAGUGAUUAGAGUAAUACUUUUUCACAUUUCCAAAGUUUGCAUGUUAACUUUAAAUGCUUACAAUCUUAGAGUGGUAGGCAAUGUUUUACACUAUUGACCUUAUAUAGGGAAGGGAGGGGGUGCCUGUGGGGUUUUAAAGAAUUUUCCUUUGCAGAGGCAUUUCAUCCUUCAUGAAGCCAUUCAGGAUUUUGAAUUGCAUAUGAGUGCUUGGCUCUUCCUUCUGUUCUAGUGAGUGUAUGAGACCUUGCAGUGAGUUUAUCAGCAUACUCAAAAUUUUUUUCCUGGAAUUUGGAGGGAUGGGAGGAGGGGGUGGGGCUUACUUGUUGUAGCUUUUUUUUUUUUUACAGACUUCACAGAGAAUGCAGUUGUCUUGACUUCAGGUCUGUCUGUUCUGUUGGCAAGUAAAUGCAGUACUGUUCUGAUCCCGCUGCUAUUAGAAUGCAUUGUGAAACGACUGGAGUAUGAUUAAAAGUUGUGUUCCCCAAUGCUUGGAGUAGUGAUUGUUGAAGGAAAAA